rnacentral:rRNA from 1 species
CCUACGGGAGGCAGCAGUGGGGAAUUUUGGUCAAUGGGCGCAAGCCUGAUCCAGCUAUUCCGCGUGUGGGAUGACGGCCCUCGGGUUGUAAACCACUUUAGUAGAGAACGAAAAGGAGCUAUCGAAUAACUAGCUCUGCUGACGGUACUCUAAGACUAAGCACCGGCUAACUACGUACCAGCAGCCGCGGUAAUACGUAGGGUGCGAGCGUUACUCGGAAUUACUGGGCGUAAAGGGUGUGCAGGCGGCUGCGUAGGACAGAUGUGAAAGCCCCGGGAUUAUCCGGGGAACCGCAUAUGUGACUGCUUGGCUAGAGUGCGUCAGAGGGGGGUGGAAUGCCACGUGUAGCAGUGAAAUGCGUAGAUAUGUGGAAGAAAACCGAUGGCGAAGGCAGCC